AACUUUCGACAACGGAUCUCUUGGCUCUCGCAUCGAUGAAGAACGCAGCGAAAUGCGAUACGUAAUGUGAAUUGCAGAAUUCGGUGAAUCAUCGAAUCUUUGAACGCACCUUGCGCCCCUUGGUAUUCCGAGGGGCACACUCGUUUGAGUGUCGUGAAAAUCUCAACCUUCUCGGUUUCUUCUGGACACCGGGGGAGGCUUGGACUUUGUUGGCCUUUGCUGGCGUCGCCUCCCAGCUCCUCUCAAAUGAAGUAGUGGGGUCCUCUUUGCCGAUCCUCGACAUGUGAUAAGAUGUUUCCAUGUCUUGGUUUAUGGCUCUGUUGCUUUUGGGACCCGCUUCUAACCGUCUCAACGAGACAACGUUCGAGCGUGUCGAACACUCUUGAACCCUCGAACCCUUGACCUCAAAUCGGGUGAGACUACCCGCUGAACUUAAGCAUAUCAAUAAGCGGAGGCU
rnacentral:misc_RNA from 1 species